CCCGCUGAACUUAAGCAUAUCAAUAAGCGGAGGAAAAGAAACUAACCAGGAUUCCCCUAGUAACGGCGAGUGAAGCGGGAUGAGCUCAAGCUUAAAAUCUCUGUGCCAGUUUGGCAUGGCGAAUUGUAGUCUAUAGAGGCGUUGUCAGUGCGGCUGUGCGGGGUAAGUUCCUUGGAAGAGGACAGCAUCGAGGGUGAUACUCCCGUUUGUACCUGUGCGGCUUGCGCGUACGACACGUUUUCUUCGAGUCGCGUUGUUUGGGACUGCAGCGCAAAGUAGGUGGUAAAUUCCAUCUAAAGCUAAAUAUUGGUGCGAGACCGAUAGCGAACAAGUACCGUGAGGGAAAGAUGAAAAGAACUUUGAAAAGAGAGUUAAAGAGUACCUGAAACUGCUGAAAGGGAAGCGAAUCGUAUCCAGUGUCUAUAAUCUGCGACAUAUUUCAUUGGCGGCAGUGUGCGUGCUUUUGCGUCGGAAGCGGCUUUUGUUGCUCUGUGCUUUUGCUGUGCGCGCUGUUGCUGUUGCCCUGUGUUGCGGUGGGACGUCAGAGUCAGUUCGUAUGCUGCGGGAAAUGGCCGCCGAGGAGGUAGGUCAGGAUUUCGGUCUUGGCUGUUAUAUCUUGGUGGUUUGUUGUCGUGGUUGGGACUGAGGUGCCUACAAUGUGCUUUUGAGUGUGCCGGGUUCUCAUUUGGUGGACUGUUUGGAUAGCUUGCUAUGCUUGUGGUUUUUUCAUCGAGUGAUUGAGUCUGGUGGUAACUUAUUGCCGUUCGGGACUUUGACGAAAUGGAGCGAUU
rnacentral:rRNA from 2 species